UUCAUUCUUUCAUGCUCUUAAUUUAUUCCCUUGUUUUUUUUCCCUCUCGUUUUUCUCAUGCUGAUAAAUAAUAAUUUAUUAUUUUUAUUAUUAUUAUUAAGAUAUUAGCUUGUUGGAAGUUUGAUCUCGUAAUGAAGCAUUAUGUUUACGACUGUACUGAAAUCUUUGAUUUGGGACUUAACUCCAUUUAUGUCUCUUUGCUUGUGUUUUGGAUUGGGUAUGCUAAUGAGUUGUGUUUUGGAUUGGGUAUGCUAAUGAGUUGUGUUUUGGAUUGGGUAGGCAAUGAGUGAUGACACAACAUUUGGAUACCCUUUUAACUGUAAAAGUAACAAAAUGUUCUCCACAUGCCAGAGGAAAGUAUUUGACACAGG
rnacentral:lncRNA from 1 species